CUACGGGGCGCUGCAGUGGGGAAUAUUGCACAAUGGAGGAAACUCUGAUGCAGCAACGCCGCGUGGAGGAUGACACUUUUCGGAGCGUAAACUCCUUUUAUAUAGGAAGAAGAUGACGGUACUAUAUGAAUAAGCGCCGGCUAACUCCGUGCCAGCAGCCGCAGGUAAUACGGAGGGCGCAAGCGUUACUCGGAAUCACUGGGCACAAAGAGCGUGUAGGCGGAUUAAAAAGUCAGAAGUGAAAUCCUAUAGCUUAACUAUAGAACUGCUUCUGAAACUCUUAGUCUAGAAUAUGGGAGAGGUAGAUGGAAUUUCUGGUGUAGGGGUAAAAUCCGUAGAGAUCAGAAGGAAUACCGAUUGCGAAGGCGAUCUACUAGAACAUUAUUGACGCUGAGACGCGAAAGCGUGGGGAGCAAACAGGAUUAGAUACCCGUGUAGUC
rnacentral:rRNA from 1 species